GACGAACGCUGGCGGCGUGCCUAAUACAUGCAAGUAGAACGCACAGUUUAUACCGUAGCUUGCUACACCAUAGACUGUGAGUUGCGAACGGGUGAGUAACGCGUAGGUAACCUGCCUGGUAGCGGGGGAUAACUAUUGGAAACGAUAGCUAAUACCGCAUAAUAUUAAUUAUUGCAUGAUAAUUAAUUGAAAGGUGCAAUUGCACCACUACCAGAUGGACCUGCGUUGUAUUAGCUAGUAGGUGAGGUAACGGCUCACCUAGGCGACGAUACAUAGCCGACCUGAGAGGGUGAUCGGCCAGACUGGGACUGAGACACGGCCCAGACUCCUACGGGAGGCAGCAGUAGGGAAUCUGCGGCAAUGGACGAAAGUCUGACCGAGCAACGCCGCGUGAGUGAAGAAGGUUUUCGGAUCGUAAAGCUCUGUUGUAAGAGAAGAACGGGUGUGAGAGUGGAAAGUUCACACUGUGACGGUAACUUACCAGAAAGGGACGGCUAACUACGUG
rnacentral:rRNA from 1 species